rnacentral:tRNA from 1 species
GACCUUUUAACUCUAUAGUAGAGUAACGCCAUGGUAAGGCGUAAUCAUCGGUUAAAAUCCGAUAAGGGGUU